rnacentral:lncRNA from 1 species
UGCAAUCAUCGCACAUGCACCCCUAUCAAAUACAAUACACUGGUACUUUCAAUCACUGAGAUUAUACCCUAGUGUAAAUGAAAAUGUGUACCGCUUCGUACACAGACCUUUUGACCGAUGCAACAAUAUCACCAACUGAACUAUUUUCAGGAUCAAGGGCUCCACUUGCCCAGCUGAAUAGCAUAUGUCAAUACAAACAGGCAAAAGUAUAAAUCAGGUUGAUAACUUUGGCAAGCAGUGUAUAAUAUGAACCAUAAAUAUAUGAACAAUGAUAGUAAGUCUGUGAUGGUAAAAUAAGCUCAUAUAACAAAUAUGUCUUUCUGGUAAAACCAUGUAUCAUAUCCCAUGCUAUAUAAGAUCAUCAACUUCAUAUCCCAUGCUAUAUAAUGUCUUGGAUGGGCAAGACGGUUAAAACCCAAUGGUAGAUUAUAUAAUGUCUUGGAUUAUUAAGAUCAUAAAAGCGAGCGCGCACACUCAAAUUCACUAUUACAAAGAAAAUGUGAAAGAACCCCUAAUUAAACCAUUUCCUACCUUUGAGUCCACAAACCAUAGCUAUAAAAAGUUCAAAUAUAAAUAGAAGAGAUGUACCACUGAUCAUCGACAUCCAUGUCAGACUCUCGAUCCCACCUUUCAUCUUCAUUAUCUUCAUCUGCCUAAAAGUUAAAAUAUUUUUAUGAAAAACUCACUUGUCUAGUUAGGCAUACUAUAAUCUGAUAUCUUGUUACACAGGGUUAAAUGAAUAUGCAGAAAGUCUAUAAUGCACCCAACAUUAUUUCAUCAUUUCCUCUCUAUAAAAUAACUACAAGGAAAAGAAAAAUGAAAAAUUAAAUAAAAAUGCUUGAGCAUGAAGGUGAAUAUUUGAAUUUUGUUUUGGAAAACCUCCAACUACCUAUAAUUAGUACUCUCUCCAUCCUACAAAUAAUGUUAGAAAGAAGGUUCUCCUCUUAUAUUUGGAACAAUUUUCUUCUGAAAAUCAUGAGGAAUGUUAAACCAACAGUGGAUAUUCCAGAAUGAGGUACGACCCAUACAAAUGAAAAAUUCAACAUUCAAUUUUUUGGACAAGAGCAAUGAUAAUUUCAACAUUAUCUCUUCCAUCAUAUCUCUCACCUCAAAGUAGAUAAAAAGCCAUUACACCCACUAUGGAGAAUCUUCUCUGUUGGUGUAUCUUUUUUUAAUGAAUCAGAAAGAAAGCAGGAAAUAUAUUUUUUAAAUAUAAAAAUAUUUUGAGAAUCUUAGCAGUUACCAAUAGUUAACCAAAUGCACAUUAAACUUCCAUUGGAGGUUAGCCCUUUUUACCUUGCAGGGCAGCAGAAGACAGACAAUUGUGAAAUUCUAUAUCAAUUUGUUUUCGUUCAUUGCAGGCAAGCAGUUAGGCAUACCGGUGAACAUUACAUAAGCAGUCAUUUUUGGCCAUGGUCCUUCAUCAAAAGCUUAUCACGAAGGUUAAAAUGGAUAAAAGUUCUAAUUAUAUGCAGGAAAACUAGUCGCCUUUCAAUUAAAAUUACCAAGCGUGCUGCAAAUAAUGAACAACAGUGUAUACAAGUCAAGCUCUCAUGCAAAUAAUAACUAAUGCAAGGAAACACACAGUUCAUCCCUUACCUUCUUAGGGUUGAGCAAGUAAUCAUACAGAGUCGCCGCCGGAACCGGUUGUCUGUCCACUCAACAAAUCUAGAGUUCCUUUAGAAAUCAAAUUCGCCGGCAGAAACGCAUGCUUAUCCGGCACAUCGCCCGUCACCGACGCCCCAUCGAGCAAAAUCGUCUCCUUCGGGGGACAAUUGGACCAGUUAGGGUUCGAAUCGUUAAGCUGGAGGUACUGAUCGGGCCUCGUGUAGGAGGCGACGAGAGGUGAAGAACAAAUCAGCCUACGAGAACGGAGAAAUAGCGAGAGCUGUCAAGAGAUCAGUCACUUGACAUACUUAAGAUGAAGAACAAAUCCAAAGAGAGAGAACUUACGAUGAAAACGUAGCCUAAGAGAUCGGAGAAAUAGUAUCUUUUUAAUUUUAAGUUUUCACUUAGCGCCUUUUUUUUUGCUCCGU